rnacentral:rRNA from 1 species
UACGUAGGGUGCGAGCGUUGUCCGGAAUUACUGGGCGUAAAGAGCUCGUAGGUGGUUUGUCGCGUUGUUCGUGAAAACUCACAGCUUAACUGUGGGCGUGCGGGCGAUACGGGCAGACUGGAGUACUGCAGGGGAGACUGGAAUUCCUGGUGUAGCGGUGAAAUGCGCAGAUAUCAGGAGGAACACCAGCGGCGAAGGCGGCGCUCUGGGCCGGAACUGACGCUGAGGAGCGAAAGCGUGGGGAGCAAACAGG